UGCCGAGCGAUGUUGAGCACUUUUUCAUGUGUCCGUUGGCCAUUUGGAUGUCUUCUUUCGUACUCCCCAAAUCUUAAUAGCAAGAAGAAAAUGUAAGGACUGCGGCAGCCAGAGGUAUUUGCUGAUGCUUUGGUGGGUGGGUCCCUAUUGUGACAGAAUCAAAGGGUCCCUGAGUAUAUUCCCUGCUUGCUCUGCAGAGACCAGGUCAGACUGCUCCCCGUGGGUGCCGCCCGCAGUGCUGAACAACGAGCACAUGGUCAGUGAGGCAGAGCACUGACCUCCUGUCAACAGCCCUCUCAAAAACACGAACGGGCAAAGCUUUGGCACUUUGAGACAAGCUACAAGUAAAAUACUUGAAGUAGAGAAUCCAGGAGGGAACACAAGAAGCUGCUGAGGAAGUUAAGACUCAUCUCUGUCAAGCCAGUGAUGUGUCCUGGUAAGCUUCGAGACAAUCGUGCUCAACAGCCUGGUACAGCAGGCCUCGGGGAGUGGCCCUGCCACAGGGUCGAAGCUUUCAGGGAAAAUGGCACAGUGACCAGGCAAGAAGAGAGAUACCAUGGUCCCCACCAGAGCAUCAGCUGCAGCUUGGCGCCCUCCACUGGCCACGCCUGUGGCUGCAGGGUGGGCACAGAAUGCCACCCACAGCGGCCCUGCCAGGGUGCCGUCCCUGGGUGACUUCUGCUACCUUUCCCCCAGGCAAUUAUGCUGCAAGCACACAUCCUUUUCUUUCCCUAAAAUGUUAUCUCGAUCCAGCCGGUAAACUGAAGUUACAUGGCAGGCUGUUAAAAUAUACUCCAUUGAAUAAAUGGAUCCCGGAGCAUGAAAACCGCUUCCUGGGGAAGGUAAAGCGAGACAAUGUUUGCGGAGGAGAGGAAGCUCUGGCAUGCACCCCUGAACAAAAGAGAACAAGUGGUCUUUACUCGGAGAACGGCUUCCUAUUAGGACUCACUCCUUCGUACAUUAUGCCUUUCAUCCCCACUCAACCACAAAAUGAUUUUGCUGAAGCAAAUACAAUGGUAGAAAAAGAUUUACACUGAAAGAAUCUUUAAUAAUAAACUGUUGCCGAUCUGCCUACUUGCCCGUGAUUUAUAAUACAAUAAACAUCGGAUUCUAUUACGGCUCAUGCACUGAAGCUGCUGCUCUGAAAAACGGAAUAUGAAAGCACCCGGAUCCCACCACCAUCACAAUGAAAUGAGCAUGUAUAAAUGUGCUAAGAGUAUCUCUUUGCAUCUUUUAUAGCUUGUGUGUAUUAAUCUGUAACGCUUAUUAAGAAAGUCAUUGCUAUGCAAAGCAGCACCCAAUCCCUUUCUCUGGCUUUUCAACAGAGUGCACUGUUUAGCCAAUAGGACGGACCCUCUGGCCCUCAUUCUGCAUUCAUCACAGGCAACAUUUGCACAAUGUAUCUCUCAAAGGCGGCUGAAAAGAAGGCCUUAAUACUCAUGUAAACAACUGCAAACCAAUUACUUAAUGAAUCAGGCCCACACAUAAUGAGGUGCAGACAAAGAGCUAUAAAUGCAUUUUUGCACCCAAGCCGCUGCUUUAAAGUAAAAUCCCUCAGCUGUAGUUUGGGCUUAACUAGCACAUCAUAAUUAUUGUCUCUAGGACAUCAGAGGAAGCCCCCCCUUUUUUUUAAGGUCCAGCGGGGUCUUUUUUUUUUUUUUUUUGAGGUUGCUCAUCAGCUCACUGACAAAAUAGAGCAAAGAAGAAUUUUUAAAAGUGCUGCAGCAGCACUGCACUGUUAUGUUUAUUCUGAAGUACUGGGUUUCGAGACCACUUGUAAAAGCAAUAAAGCACAAGGAGUGACUGCAGUAAGUGGGAUCCUUAAAUGUAAGCCUCUAAGAAAUUUCAGUGAAUCCAGGAGCAAACAGCAAACCCAGAGCUCUCCAAAGCCCAGGGUGCUGUACUGACAACACCAAACCCAGCACAGGAACCACGCCGUGACAAACAGCAUGCCAAACCCAAACACUCAACGCCCAGGCCUUUUCAUCACUGGAUUAUUAUCAAGGGUCUAGAACCAAAGGUUCCUUGAAGACCUUUUUUUUUUUCCUUCUUAAAGGGCGUGAUG